rnacentral:rRNA from 1 species
GGGGGUGUGAGAGCACGGGCCCCCCACAAUGGGACUGAAACACGGGCCAUACUCCUACGGGAGGCAGCAGCAGGGAAUAUUGCACAAUAGGCGAAAGCCUGAUGCAGCGACGCCGCGUGAGUGAAGAAGGCCUUCGGGUCGUAAAGCUCUUUUGUAGGGGAAGAGGAAGGACGGUACCCUAAGAAGAAGCGUCGGCUAACUACGUGCCAGCAGCCGCGGUAAGACGUAGGACGCGAGCGUUAUCCGGAAUUACUGGGCGUAAAGGGCCAGCAGGCGGCUUGGUAAGUUGUGCGUGAAAGCCUCGUGCUCAACGCGAGGAAGCCGGACAAUACUGUCAAGCUAGAGGGCAUCAGAGGGGAGUGGAAUUCCCGGAGUAGCGGUAAAAUGCGCAGAUAUCGGGAGGAACACCGAUGGCGAAGGCAGCUCCCUGGGAUGCACCUGACGCUAAGAGGCGAAAGCUAGGGGAGCGAACAGGAUUAGAGACCCUGGUAGUCCUAGCUGUAAACGCUGGGUGCUAGGUGUGGGACGUAGAAGUUCCGUGCCGGAGCAAACGCGAUAAGCACCCCGCCUGGGAAUUACGGUCGCAAGGCUAAAACUCAAACGAAUUGACGGGGCCCCGCACAAGCAGCGGAGCGUGUGGUUCAAUUCGAUGCUACACGAAGAACCUUACCUGGGUUUGACAUGUACGUGGUACGAAGGCGAAAGCCUAAGGACCCUUCGGGGAGCGUACACAGGUGCUGCAUGGCUGUCGUCAGCUCGUGCCGUGAGGUGUCGGGUUAAGUCCCGUAACGAGCGCAACCCUUGCCCUUAGUUACAAGUGUCUAAGGGGACUGCCGGCGGGAAGCCGGAGGAAGGUGGGGAUGACGUCAAGUCAGCAUGGCCCUUAUGUCCAGGGCUACACACACGCUACAAUGGUCAGUACAAAGGGUAGCGAAGUCGCGAGGCGGAGCGAAUCUCAACAAAGCUGAUCGUAGUUCGGAUUGCAGGCUGCAACCCGCCUGCAUGAAGCUGGAGUUGCUAGUAACCGCGCGUCAGCCAUAGUGCGGUGAAUACGUACCCGGGGCUUGUACACACCGCCCGUCACGUCAUGGGAGUCGGUAACGCAUGAAGCCGGUAGUCUGGCCCGCAAGGGGGGACGCUGUCGAAGGCGGGAC